rnacentral:rRNA from 1 species
UACGUAGGGGGCUAGCGUUGUCCGGAUUUAUUGGGCGUAAAGAGCGUGUAGGCGGCCAGGUAGGUCCGUUGUGAAAACUCGAGGCUCAACCUCGAGACGUCGGCGGAAACCCUCUGGCUAGAGUCCGGAAGAGGAGAGUGGAAUUCCUGGUGUAGCGGUGAAAUGCGCAGAUAUCAGGAGGAACACCUAUAGCGAAGGCAGCUUGCUGGGACGUAACUGACGCUAAGGCGCGAAAGCGUGGGGAGCGAACAGG